rnacentral:rRNA from 1 species
GGUUAAGCGACUAAGCGUACACGGUGGAUGCCCUGGCAGUCAGAGGCGAUGAAGGACGUGCUAAUCUGCGAAAAGCGUCGGUAAGGUGAUAUGAACCGUUAUAGCCGGCGAUGUCCGAAUGGGGAAACCCAGUGCAAUUCGUUGCACUAUCGUUUGAUGAAUACAUAGUCAAACGAGGCGAACCGGGGGAACUGAAACAUCUAAGUACCCCGA